CAGUAGCCGCGGUAAGACAGAGGAUGCAAGCGUUAUCCGGAAUGAUUGGGCGUAAAGCGUCUGUAGGUGGCUUUUCAAGUCCGCCGUCAAAUCCCAGGGCUCAACCCUGGACAGGCGGUGGAAACUACCAAGCUGGAGUACGGUAGGGGCAGAGGGAAUUUCCAGUGGAGCGGUGAAAUGCGUUGAGAUCGAAAAGAACACCAACAGCGAAAGCACUCUGCUGGGACGACACUGACACUAAGAGACGAAAGCUAGGGGAGCAAAUGGGAUUAGAUACCCGCGUAGUCCCUGUCUCUUAUAA
rnacentral:rRNA from 1 species